GAAGUGUACAAAAUUUGAAUCAAUAUUAGCAAUUUGAUUAUUAGUUAUUGAGGUUCUAUUUUAUUAUAAGAUUUGUUAAGAGUUUAUUUAAGAUUUAGGAUUUGAUUAGGAUUUGCUUAAGAUUUAGCUUAGAACUUAUUUAUGAUUUUAUUAGGAUUUCAUUAGGAUUUGAUGUAGAAUUUGGUUAAGAUUCAAUUAAA
rnacentral:lncRNA from 1 species